UACGGGGGGGGCAAGCGUUGUUCGGAAUUACUGGGCGUAAAGGGCUCGUAGGUGGCCAACUAAGUCAGACGUGAAAUCCCUCGGCUUAACCGGGGAACUGCGUCCGAUACUGGCAGGCUUGAAUCCGGGAGAGGGAUGCGGAAUUCCACGUGUAGCAGUGAAAUGCGUAGAGAUGUGGAGGAACACCGAUGGCGAAGGCAGCCCCCUGGGUCAAGACUGACGCUCAUGCAUGAAAGCGUGGGGAGCAAACAGG
rnacentral:rRNA from 1 species